UUUCGGAUGAUGAGGACAUUUUGAAAGAGUGUUUUAUGGAUCUAGCUUCAUUUCCUGAAGGCCAUGGGUUACUUUUCCUACCCUAAUUGAUAUGUGGGCUGAAUUACAUGAACUAGAUGAACAUGGCAAUGGUGCCAUUGACAAUUUACAUGAACUCACCUCCCGGAAUCUGGCUACUCUAGUGAGGACAAGGAAAGAAUCGAAAUAUACAAGUGAGAACAACAAUUAUUAUACUUGUUAUUAUGAAGACUUUGUCACACAACAUGAUCCUCUUAGAGAGCUAGCUAUUUAUGAGGCCAGCCGGGGGGCCAAUCGGACAAAGGAAACGAUUGUUUAUGGACAUAAAUAAAAACACUCUACCGAAGUGGUGUACGAAACAGGAUCAGCACCUCAUCAAUGCCCGCCUAUUAUCUAUCUCAACUGAUGAAUUAUUCUUGUCAAGUUGGUGCAACAUUCAAGCACCCAAAGUUGAGGUUCUAAUUCUGAACUUUCAGACACAGAAUUACAGCUUACCUG